rnacentral:rRNA from 1 species
AAUUGCUAGUAAUGGCAGGUCAGCAUACUGCCGUGAAUACGUUCCCGGGCCUUGUACACACCGCCCGUCACACCAUGAGAGUUGGGAAUACCCGAAGCCUGUGAGCUAACUUUACGAGGCAGCAGUCGAAGGUAGAAUCAAUGAUUGGGGUGAAGUCGUAACAAGGUAAC